GGGGGGGGGGGGGGGGGGGCGGGGGGGGGGGGGGGGGGGGGGGGGGGCCCGGCGUGCGGGGGGCUCGGGUGGCGGAGGGGGGGGUAACGCGUGGUUGGUCUGCCCGGCCCUUCGGGCGAGGCCGGGCAACAUGGGGCUAGUGCCGGCUAGGGGCCGUUUGGAGCGUGGUUGUUGGAAAGGUUUUUCGGUGUAGGCUGGGCGCGCGGCCUAUCAGCUUGUUGGGGGGGUAAUGGCCGACCAAGGCGGCGACGGGGCGCCGGCCUGAGCGGGUGGACGGCCACAGUGGGACUGAGAUACGGCCCAGACUCCUACGGGAGGCAGCAGUGGGGAAUAUUGCGCAAUGGGGGGAAGCCUGAUGCAGCGACGCCGGGUGGGGGAUGGCGGCCUUCGGGUUGGAAACUCCUUUCGCUAGGGACGAAGCUUUUUGUGACGGUACCUAGAUAAGAAGCACCGGCUAACUACGUG
rnacentral:rRNA from 1 species